rnacentral:rRNA from 1 species
UAGGGAAUAUUGCACAAUGGGGGAAACCCUGAUGCAGCGACGCCGCGUGAGUGAUGAAGGCCUUCGGGUCGUAAAGCUCUGUCGUAUGGGACUAACAAAAUGAAGGUACCAUGCAAGAAAGGAUCGGCUAACUUCGUGCCAGCAGCCGCGGUAAGACGAGGGAUCCUAGCGUUGUUCGGAAUUAUUGGGCGUAAAGCGGGUGUAGGCGGACUUAUAAGUCAGGUGUGAAAUCCCAGGGCUCAACCCUGGAAGUGCACUUGAUACUGCAAGUCUUGAGUGUGGUAGAGGCUAUUAGAAUUCCUGGUGUAGUGGUGAAAUACGUAGAUAUCAGGAGGAAUACCGGAGGCGAAGGCGGCUUCCUGGACUCAUACUGACGCUGAGGCACGAAAGCAUGGGGAGCAAACAGGAUUAGAUACCCGCGUAGUCCCUGAGCGGGCUGGCAAGGCGCAU